CACGUAGGGCGCAAGCGUUGUCCGGAAUUAUUGGGCGUAAAGAGCUCGUAGGCGGUCUGUUGCGUCCGCUGUGAAAACUCGGGGCUUAACCCCGAGCCUGCAGUCGAUACGGGCAGGCUAGAGUUCGGCAGGGGAGACUGGAAUUCCUGGUGUAGCGGUGAAAUGCGCAGAUAUCAGGAGGAACACCGGUGGCGAAGGCGGGUCUCUGGGCCGAUACUGACGCUGAGGAGCGAAAGCGUGGGGAGCGAACAGG
rnacentral:rRNA from 1 species